GGUCUAAUACCGGAUAUGACUGUCCAUCGCAUGGUGGAUGGUGUAAAGCUCCGGCGGUGCAGGAUGAGCCCGCGGCCUAUCAGCUUGUUGGUGAGGUAGUGGCUCACCAAGGCGACGACGGGUAGCCGGCCUGAGAGGGCGACCGGCCACACUGGGACUGAGACACGGCCCAGACUCCUACGGGAGGCAGCAGUGGGGAAUAUUGCACAAUGGGCGAAAGCCUGAUGCAGCGACGCCGCGUGAGGGAUGACGGCCUUCGGGUUGUAAACCUCUUUCAGCAGGGAAGAAGCGAAAGUGACGGUACCUGCAGAAGAAGCGCCGGCUAACUACGUGCCAGCAGCCGCGGUAAUACGUAGGGCGCAAGCGUUGUCCGGAAUUAUUGGGCGUAAAGAGCUCGUAGGCGGCUUGUCACGUCGGUUGUGAAAGCCCGGGGCUUAACCCCGGGUCUGCAGUCGAUACGGGCAGGCUAGAGUUCGGUAGGGGAGAUCGGAAUUCCU
rnacentral:rRNA from 1 species